GGCAAACUUCUCUCUCUGUAUAUUUCUGUAAAAAGAAUUAGAGGGGUGAGUGUGGGGUUUUGACUUGAACUGACACCCUUACACGCAACACUUCCAAUAAUAGAGAGUCGCAACAACCUGCGGUGGAGAGUGGCCUCUGCAAAUCUCCCAUUCUUCAUCUCCUCUGACUGUCCCUCAUACCAACUCGAUCGGCGAUGAGCGUAUUACGCCACCACAUAUCGUCUUCCCUCUCUUUUGCGACCAUAGUACUGAUCACUUUAACCUUUCUUUUACUUUCUUCAGCUCUCGGCUUACACCCUACUCGUAAUCUCAAGUUGACUGAACGGGUACUCCUUAGUACACAGCAGAGACUGAGAGGACCGGGUUCGUCGCCACCCACGUGUAGAUCCAAGUGCGGACGGUGUUCACCAUGUAAACCGGUUCGAGUCUCCGUUCAACCUGGUUUUACCUCUACUUUAGAGUACUACCCUGAAGCUUGGAGGUGCAAGUGUCGCAACAAACUCUUCAUGCCUUAAGACUGUACUGCUCAUGUUUCUUUCUUUCUUAAUUCUCUACUUGCUAAUUACUAAGCAUUAAUUAAUUUCUUCUUCUCC